UACGUAGGGUGCAAGCGUUGUCCGGAAUUAUUGGGCGUAAAGAGCUCGUAGGCGGUCUGUCGCGUCGGAUGUGAAAACCCAGGGCUCAACCCCGGACUUGCAGUGGGUACGGGCAGACUAGAGUGUGGUAGGGGAGACUGGAAUUCCUGGUGUAGCGGUGAAAUGCGCAGAUAUCAGGAGGAACACCGAUGGCGAAGGCAGGUCUCUGGGCCACUACUGACGCUGAGAAGCGAAAGCAUGGGGAGCGAACAGG
rnacentral:rRNA from 1 species